AAAGUCGUAACAAGGUUUCCGUAGGUGAACCUGCGGAAGGAUCAUUACCGAAUGAACUACACCACCCUCCUGUAGCAGAACCAUUGCCCAUGGUUGGAAUGAACAGAUCCGACUUAAAAACCUGGAGGCUGGCUUCCUCCUAAUGGUCUCUUGUUGCUGCACUGCGGUGUUCAACGUUAACGCCCGGUGGGUGUACCAUUUCAGCCACCGGGUGGGACCAUUUUCAGCCCUGGAGGAUCUCUGACCGCCUGGGCUCUUGGGGUCUGCUACGCUCAUCAAACCCGUCAUUGUAUGUAUGGUGGGGUGGCAUCCUUUUGUUGGGUUGCCCCUCAAGUAUGUAAACAUGAAUAUAACUUUCAACAACGGAUCUCUUGGCUCUC
rnacentral:misc_RNA from 1 species